rnacentral:rRNA from 1 species
UACGUAGGGAGCAAGCGUUGUCCGGAAUCAUUGGGCGUAAAGCGCGCGUAGGUGGCUUCGUAAGUCCGUUGUGAAAGUCAAAGGCUCAACCUUUGAAAGCCGAUGGAUACUGCGGAGCUAGAGUACGGAAGAGGCGAGUGGAAUUCCUGGUGUAGCGGUGGAAUGCGCAGAUAUCAGGAGGAACACCGGUGGCGAAGGCGGCGAUCUGGGUCGAUACUGACGCUGAGGUGCGAAAGCGUGGGGAGCAAACAGG